GACGAACGCUGGCGGCGUGCUUAACACAUGCAAGUCGAGCGAGGCCCCUCCUUCGGGAGGGUGUCCUAGCGGCGAACGGGUGAGUAACACGUGGGCAACCUGCCCUCAGCUCUGGGAUAACUCCGGGAAACCGGGGCUAAUACCGGAUACGACCUCCACGGGCAUCUGCGGAGGUGGAAAGUUUUUCGGCUGAGGAUGGGCCCGCUGCCUAUCAGCUAGUUGGUGGGGUAGUGGGCCACCAAGGCGACGACGGGUAGCCGGCCUGAGAGGGCGACCGGCCACACUGGGACUGAGACACGGCCCAGACUCCUACGGGAGGCAGCAGUGGGGAAUAUUGCGCAAUGGGCGGAAGCCUGACGCAGCGACGCCGCGUGAGGGACGAAGGCCUUCGGGUUGUAAACCUCUUUCAGCAGGGACGAAGCGAAAGUGACGGUACCUGCAGAAGAAGCACCGGCCAACUACGUG
rnacentral:rRNA from 1 species